rnacentral:rRNA from 1 species
AACGAACGCUGGCGGCAUGCCUAACACAUGCAAGUCGAACGGAUCCUUCGGGAUUAGUGGCGGACGGGUGAGUAACGCGUGGGAACAUACCCUUUGGUACGGAAUAGCCUCGGGAAACUGGGAGUAAUACCGUAUGUGGUCGAGAGACGAAAGAUUUAUCGCCAAAGGAUUGGCCCGCGUUGGAUUAGGUAGUUGGUGGGGUAAUGGCCUACCAAGCCGACGAUCCAUAGCUGGUUUGAGAGGAUGAUCAGCCACACUGGGACUGAGACACGGCCCAGACUCCUACGGGAGGCAGCAGUGGGGAAUCUUAGACAAUGGGGGAAACCCUGAUCUAGCCAUGCCGCGUGAUCGAUGAAGGCCUUAGGGUUGUAAAGAUCUUUCAGGUGGGAAGAUAAUGACUGUACCACCAGAAGAAGCCCCGGCUAACUCCGUGCCAGCCGCCGCGGUAA